rfam:Orientia tsutsugamushi str. Sido sido.contig.27_1, whole genome shotgun sequence.
AAAGUCCAGUUAUGGAAGGAGAAGCUAGCUCCACCAUAUAGCAAGUUUUGUGCUGCUGAAGAUAACAACAGUAGUAAAGCAUAGACAGUGAAACAUUCGAACCGAAACUAAAUGGUAAAAACGUGAUAGCUCAGAAAGUGUGAUAUAGUGGAGGCCGAUAUGUUCUACUACAUAGUAGGCAAAAGAAGAUUGUAGAUCAAAUUAGUGAAAAUCCAAAAAUUUUCAACAACUUGUGUCACAGGUAU